UCUCACUCUCUCUCUCCUCCCUCACGAAACUCUCAGUUCUCUCUCCCUCUCCUUCGAACUCACACGGACAAGCUCCAAAACCACCCUAAACUUCUACCAACGACGGAGUUAAGACCACCAUCGAACUCCUGGAACCUCCACGAUCACGUAGACACCAAUUUCAGGUAAGUUUUACUUCGGAAAACCUAGAUUCUAAACUCCCCGUGAAAGUGUACUGUUCAUGAGCUUUGAAUUGGUUGUGUUUUAGGCCAAACUAAGCUCACAGUGAGCUUUAGGAAGUCCCAAGGAAGCUCGGAGUAUGUUGUUUGGAAGUUUUGGACGUCGGGAUCACCACGUUCAAAGUUGGCCGGUUCUUGUGGAAUUUUCCGGUAAGAUUUCGUAGUUUUUAGAGCUUUAAAGUAGUAUAUUAUGAUUCUACAUGUUGAGGGCUUCAAUUUGAUAUAUUAUACGAAGAAAAUGGUUGAGAAACGAAGGAGAACGAAGCAUUUGAAAAUUCUCCAGUUUUCCGGUCGUCGGAAAAACCAGUCCGGCGAACCAAGGUUGGGGAUGAUGCGCGUGGGGG
rnacentral:lncRNA from 1 species